rnacentral:Y_RNA from 1 species
GGCAGGUCUGAAGGUGUGGGGUUCUCUCAACUGAUUCACAGUCAGUUAAAGAUAGAACUCCAUCUUCUACCCCCACCUCCUUCUAACUACUGCACUUGACUAGUCUAAA